AGUGAACGCUGGCGGUAGGCCUAACACAUGCAAGUCGAACGGCAGCACAGGAGAGCUUGCUCUCUGGGUGGCGAGUGGCGGACGGGUGAGGAAUACAUCGGAAUCUACUCUGUCGUGGGGGAUAACGUAGGGAAACUUACGCUAAUACCGCAUACGACGUUCGGGUGAAAGCCGGGGAUCUUCGGACCUUGCGCGAUUGACUGGGCCGAUGUCGGAUUAGCUAGUUGGCGGGGUAAAGGCCCACCAAGGCGACGAUCCGUGGCUGGUCUGAGAGGAUGAUCAGCCACACUGGAACUGAGACACGGUCCAGACUCCUACGGGAGGCAGCAGUGGGGAAUAUUGGACAAUGGGCGCAAGCCUGAUCCAGCCAUACCGCGUGGGUGAAGAAGGCCUUCGGGUUGUAAAGCCCUUUUGUUGGGAAAGAAAUCCAGCUGACUAAUACCCGGUUGGGAUGACGGUACCCAAAGAAUAAGCACCGGCUAACUUCGUGCCAGCCGCCGCAGUAA
rnacentral:rRNA from 1 species